GGGACUAGGAGUGGGACACAGUGACUCACUGAGGGCAUGGGGGCACAGAGACUGAGGGCAUGGGCUGGCAUGGGGGCACAGAGACUGAAGGCAUGUGCUGGCAUAGGGGGUACAGAGACUGAGGGCAUGGGGGCACAGAGACUGAAGGCAUGUGCUGGCAUGGGGGGUACAGAGACUGAGGGCAUGUGCUGGCAUGGGGUCACAGAGACUGAGGGCAUGUGCUGGCAUGAGGGUACAGAGACUGAGGGCAUGCGCUGGCAUGGGGGACACAGAGACUGAAGACAUAGUGGGCACAGAGACUGAGGGCAUCUGCUGGCAUAGGGGCACAGAGACUGAGGGCAAUGUCCUGGCAUGGGGGCACAGAGACUGAGGGCAUGUGCUGGCAUGGGGGCACAGAGACUGAGUGCAUGUGCUGUCAUGGGGGGCACAGAGAAUGAGGGCAUGUGCUAGCAAUGGGGGCACAGAGAUUGAUGGUACAGCCUGGUAUGGAGGAUACAGUCAGGGGGCACACAGCCUGGUAUGGAGAAUACAGCCAGGGGGCACACAGCCUGGUAUGGAGGAUACAGUCAGAGGGCACACAGCCUGGUAUGGAGAAUACAGCCAGGGGGCACACAGCCUGGUAUGGAAGAUACAGUCAGGGGCACACAGCCUGGUAUGGAGGAUACAGCCAGGGGGCACACAGCCUGGUAUGGAGGAUACAGCUAGGAGGCACACAGCCUGGUAUGGAGGAUACAGCCAGGGGGCACACAGCCUGGUAUGGAGGAUACAGCCAGGGGGCACACAGCCUGGUAUGGAGGAUACAGCCUGGUAUGGAGGAUCCAGCCAGGGGGCACACAGCCUGGCAUGGAGGAUACAGCCAAGGGGCACACAGCCUGGUAUGGAGGAUACAGCCAAUGGGCACACAACUUGGUAUGUAGGAUACAGCCAGGGGAAUGCAGCCUGGUAUGGAGGAUACAGCCAGGGGGCACACAGCCUAGUAUGGAGGAUACAGUCAGUUGGCACACAGCCUUGUAUGUAGGAUUCAGCCAGGGGCACAAAGCCUGGUAUGGAGGAUACAGCCAGGGGGCACACAGCCUAGUAUGGAGGAUACAGCCAGAGGGAACACAGCCUGGUAUAGAGGAUACAGCAAGGGGGCACAAAGCCUUAUAUGGAGGAUACAGUACAGUUAGGGGGCACACAGCCUGGUAUAGAGGAUACAGCCAGGGGACACACAGCCUGGUAUGGAGGAUACAGUCAGGGGGCACACAGCCUGGUAUGGAGGAUAUAGCCAGGGGCACACAGCCUGGUAUGGAGUAUACAGCCAGGGGGCACACAGCCUGGUAUAGAGCAUACAGCCAAGGGGCACAUAAUACAGCCAUGGGGCACACAGGCUGAUAUAGAGGAUACAGCCAGGGGGCACACAGUCUGGUAUGGAGGAUACAGCCAGGGGGCACAAAGCCUGGUAUGAACGAUACAGCCGGGAACCACACAGCCUGGUAUGGAGGAUACAGUCAGGGGUCACACAGCCUGGUAUGGAGGAUACAGCCGGAAGUACCUUGCCUGGUAUGGAGGAUACAGCCGGGGGCACACAGCCUGGUAUGGAGGAUACACCUGGGGGUACACAGCCUGGUAUGGAGGAUACAGCCAGGGGCACAAAGCCUGGUAUCGAGGAUAAAGCCAGGGGGUAGAAAGCCUGGUAUGUAGGAUACAGCCAGGGGGGCACACAGCUUGGUAUGGAGGAUACAGCCCGGGGCCACACAGCCUGGUAUGGAGGAUACAGCCAGGGGGCACACAGUCUGGUAUGGAGGAUACACCCGGGGGCCACACUGUCUGGUAUGUAGGAUACAGCAAGAGGGCACACAGCCUGGUAUGUAGAAUACAGCCAGGGUGCACACAUGCUGGUAUGUAGGAUUCAGCCAGGAGGACACACAGCCUGGUAUGGAGGAUACAGCCAGGGGGCACGCAGCCUGGUAUGUAGGAUUCAGUCAGGGGGCACACAGCCUGGUAUGGAGGAUACAGCCAAGAGCACAAAGCCUGGUAUGGAGGAUACAGCCAGGGGACACACAUUCUGGUAUGGAGGAUACAGCCAGGGGGCACACAGUCUGGUAUGGAGGAUGCAGCCAGGGGGCACAAAGCCUGCUAUGGAGGAUACAGCCAGGGGCACAAAGCCUGGUAUGGAGGAUACAGCCAGGUGACACACAUUCUGGUAUGGAAGAUACAGCCAGGGGGCACACAGCCUGGUAUGGAGGAUUCAGCCAGGGGGCACACAGCCUGCUAUGAAGGAUACAGCCAGGGGGCACACAGCCUGCUAUGGAGGAUACAGCCAGGGGGCACACAGCCUGCUAUGGAGGGUACAGCCAGCGGGCACACAGCCUGGUAUGUAGGAUUCAGGCAGGGACACAAAGCCUGGUAUAGAGGAUACAGCCAGGGGGCACACAGCCUGGUAUGGAGGAUACAGCCAGGGGGCACACAGCCUGGUAUGGAGGAUACAGCCAGGGGGCACAAAUCCUGGUAUGGAGGAUACAGCCAGGGGGCACACAGCCUGGUAUGGAGGAUACAGCCAGGGAGCACACAGCCUGGUAUGGAGGAUACAGCCAGGGGACACACAGCCAGGUAUGGAGGAUACAGCCAAGGGGCACACAGCCAGGUAUGGAGGAUACAGCGAGGGGCACAAAGCCUGGUAUGGAGGAUACAGCCAGGUGGCACACAGCCUGGUAUGGAGGAUACAGUCAGGGGGCACACAGCCUGGUAUAGAGGAUAAAGCCAGGGGGCACACAGGCUGGUAUGGAGGAUACAGUCAGGGGGCACAUAAUACAGCCAGGGGCACGCAUACUGAUAUAGAGGAUACAGCCAGGGGGCACACAGUCUGGUAUGGAGGAUACAGCCAGGCAGCACAAAGCCUGGCAUGGGGGACACAAUCAGGGGGCACACAGCCUGGUAUGAAUGAUACAGUCAGGGGGGCACAAAGCCUGGUAUGGAGGAUACAGUCAGGGGGGGACAAAGCCUGGUAUGGAGGAUACAGCCAGGGGGCACACAGCCUGGUAUGAAGGAUACAGUCAGGGGGGCACAAAGCAUGGUAUGGAGGAUACAGUCAGGGGGCACAAAGCCUGGUAUGGAGGAUACAGCCAGGGGGCACACAGUCUGAUAUGAGGAUACAGCCAGGGGGAACACAGCCUGGUAUGGAGGAUACAGCCAGGGGCCACACAGCCUGGUAUGGAGGAUACAGCCAGGGGGCACACAACCUGGUAUGGAUGAUACAAUCAGGGGGCACACAGCCUGGUAUAGAGGAUACAGUCAGGGGGCACACAGCCUGGUACAGAAGAUAGAGCCAGGGGGCACACAGCCUGGUAUGAAGGAUACAGCCAGGGGGCACACAGCCUGGUAUGGAGGAUACAACCAGGGGGCACAAAGCAUGGCAUGGAGUAUACAGUCAGGGGAGCACACAGCCUGGUAUGGAGGAUACAGUCAGGGGGCACACAGCCUGGUAUGGAGGAUACAGUCAGAGGGCACACAGCCUGGUAUAGAGGAUACAGUCAGGGGGCACACAGCCUGGUACAGAAGAUACAGCCAGGGGGCACACAGCCUGGUAUGAAGGAUACAGCCAGGGGGCACACAGCCUGGUAUGGAGGAUACAGCCAGGGGGCACAAAGCAUGGCAUGGAGUAUACAGUCAGGGGGCACACAGCCUGGUAUGGAGGAUACAGUCAGAGGGCACACAGCCUGGUAUGGAGGAUACAGCUAGAGGGCACACAGUCUGGUAUGGAGGAUACAGCCAGGGGGGCAUACAGCUUGGUAUGGAGGAUACAGCCAGGAGGUACCAAGCCUGGUAUGGAGGAUACAGCUGGGGGCACACAGCCUGGUAUGGAGGAUACAGCUAGGGGUACACAGCCUAGUAUGGAGGAUACAGCCUGGGGCACAAAGCCUGGUAUGAAGGAUACAGCCAGGGGGGGCACAUUCUGGUAUGGUGGAUACAGCCAGGGGGCAGAAAGCCUGGCAUGGAGGAUACAGUCAGGGGGCACACAGCUUGGUAUGGAGGAUACAGUCAGGGGGCACACAGCCUGGUAUGGAGGAUACAGCCAGGGGGCACACAGCCUGGUAUGGAGGAUACAGCCAGGGAAUGCACAGUGGUACAGCCAGGUGGCACUAAGCCUGAUAGGUAGGACAGAGCCAGGGGGCACAAAGCCUGGCAUGGAGGAUACAGUCAGGGGGCACAAUGCCUGGUAUGGAGGAUACAGUCAGGGGGGACAAAGCCUGGUAUGGAGGAUACAGCCAGGGUGCACACGGGUCUGGUAAGAAUGAUACAGUAAGGGAGCACACAGCCUGGUAUGGAGGAUACAGCCAGGGGGCACAAAGCCUGGUAUGGAGGAUAUAGCCAGGGGCCACACAGCCUGGUAUGGAGGAUACAGCCAGGGGGCACAAAGCCUGGUAUGGAGGAUAGAACCAGGGGACAUGACCAGACUAUGGGUGAUGUAGAGUCAGGUAAGGUUAGGAGCACUUAACUAGUAUUUGGGGGAUAUAGAGACUGUUAAGGAAGGAGACUUGCUCAGGAGAGGGGGACAAUCAGGACGGGAUGGCUACAAGUUUCACAGGGUCAUUAGGGGACAUAAGGACACAUACAGCACAUGAAAUUGCUUUGAUAUAGCAGGACAUAUGGCAAACAAACAUUGGGUGGGUGGUUACAAAGCCAAAUUGUUAGCCUGUAGGCACAGAUACAGGCUGGUAAGGGGUAUAAUAACGGCUAUAUAUUCCAUAUUCAUCCCCAAGAGAUUCUCAGACAAUCCCACAUCCCCAGACUACUGGUACAAACAUGAGACAGCUGCAUUGCUCUAGUUGAAUCUGAUAUCAGACAGGAACUAGCAUGUGUCUACCUAGUAUAAAAUCUUUAUUUCAUGCAGCACAGACAUAACUGAUUACAGAACCAAAUCAUUUUCCAAUAGAUUAUGACUGUGAGGCGUUGUCACAUUCACAGGCCAAAUACUCUAUUUGACACUCUACUUGAAGCUCCUGGACUUGUAGUGUGAUCUAUGUGACAUUGAUCUGCUCCUACUACAUCAUUUUUUGGGCAUCCCUGGACUCUCCCUGGUGAGACGAGGACCCCCUAUUGGCGACAUUUUCCUAUUGAGGUCUACCGGACGACGUGUGGUUCCGGAUUGCGAAUAUUGC